rnacentral:rRNA from 1 species
GACGAACGCUGGCGGCGUGCUUAACACAUGCAAGUCGAACGGAAAGGCCCUGCUUUUGUGGGGUGCUCGAGUGGCGAACGGGUGAGUAACACGUGAGUAACCUGCCCUUGACUUUGGGAUAACUUCAGGAAACUGGGGUUAAUACCGGAUAGCAGCUCCUGCAGCAUGGUGGGGGUUGGAAAGUUUCGGCGGUAGCGGAUGGACUCGCGGCUUAUCAGCUUGUUGGUGGGGUAGUGGCUUACCCAGGCUUUGACGGGUAGCCGGCAUGAGAGGGUGACCGGCCACAAGAGGACUGAGAGACGGACCAGACGCCUACGGUAGGCAGCAGUGGGGAAUAUUGCACAAUGGGCGGAAGCCUGAGACAGCAACGUCGCGUGCGGGAUGACGGCUUUCUGGUUAUAAACCGCUUUCGCCUGUGACGAAGCGUGAGUGACGGUAAUGGGUAAAGAAGCACCGGCUAACUACGUG